rnacentral:rRNA from 1 species
UGGGGAAUUUUGGACAAUGGACGCAAGUCUGAUCCAGCCAUGCCGCGUGCGGGAAGAAGGCCUUCGGGUUGUAAACCGCUUUUGUCAGGGAAGAAACGCUCUGGGCUAAUACCCUGGGGUAAUGACGGUACCUGAAGAAUAAGCACCGGCUAACUUCGUGCCAGCAGCCGCGGUAAUACGAAGGGUGCAAGCGUUACUCGGAAUUACUGGGCGUAAAGCGUGCGUAGGUGGUUGUUUAAGUCUGCUGUGAAAGCCCUGGGCUCAACCUGGGAACUGCAUUUGUGACUGUAUAGCUAGAGUACGGCAGAGGGGGAUGGAAUUCCGCGUGUAGCAGUGAAAUGCGUAGAUAUGCGGAGGAACACCGAUGGCGAAGGCAAUCCCCUGGGCCUGUACUGACGCUCAUGCACGAAAGCGUGGGGAGCAAACA